GACGAACGCUGGCGGCGUGCUUAACACAUGCAAGUCGAACGCUGAAGCCCAGCUUGCUGGGUGGAUGAGUGGCGAACGGGUGAGUAACACGUGAGUAACCUGCCCCCUUCUUUGGGAUAACGCCCGGAAACGGGUGCUAAUACUGGAUAUUCACUGGCCUUCGCAUGGGGGUUGGUGGAAAGGUUUUUCUGGUGGGGGAUGGGCUCGCGGCCUAUCAGCUUGUUGGUGGGGUGAUGGCCUACCAAGGCUUUGACGGGUAGCCGGCCUGAGAGGGUGACCGGUCACAUUGGGACUGAGAUACGGCCCAGACUCCUACGGGAGGCAGCAGUGGGGAAUAUUGCACAAUGGGCGAAAGCCUGAUGCAGCGACGCCGCGUGAGGGAUGACGGCCUUCGGGUUGUAAACCUCUUUCGCUCAUGGUCAAGCCGCAGCUUUGGGUUGUGGUGAGGGUAGUGGGUAAGGAAGCGCCGGCUAACUACGUGCCAGCAGCCGCGGUAAUACGUAGGGCGCGAGCGUUGUCCGGAAUUAUUGGGCGUAAAGGGCUUGUAGGCGGUUGGUCGCGUCUGCCGUGAAAUCCUCUGGCUUAACUGGGGGCGUGCGGUGGGUACGGGCUGACUUGAGUGCGGUAGGGGGAGACUGGAACUCCUGGUGUAGCGGUGGAAUGCGCAGAUAUCAGGAAGAACACCGGUGGCGAAAGGCGGGGUCUCUGGGCCGUUACUGACGCUGAGGAGCGAAAGCGUGGGGAGCGAACAGG
rnacentral:rRNA from 1 species